AGUGAACGCUGGCGGUAGGCCUAACACAUGCAAGUCGAACGGCAGCACAGUAAGAGCUUGCUCUUACGGGUGGCGAGUGGCGGACGGGUGAGGAAUACAUCGGAAUCUACUUUUUCGUGGGGGAUAACGUAGGGAACCUUACGCUAAUACCGCAUACGACCUACGGGUGAAAGCAGGGGAUCUUCGGACCUUGCGCGAUUGAAUGAGCCGAUGUCGGAUUAGCUAGUUGGCGGGGUAAAGGCCCACCAAGGCGACGAUCCGUAGCUGGUCUGAGAGGAUGAUCAGCCACACUGGAACUGAGACACGGUCCAGACUCCUACGGGAGGCAGCAGUGGGGAAUAUUGGACAAUGGGCGCAAGCCUGAUCCAGCCAUACCGCGUGGGUGAAGAAGGCCUUCGGGUUGUAAAGCCCUUUUGUUGGGAAAGAAAAGCAGCAGGUUAAUACCCCGCUGUUCUGACGGUACCCAAAGAGUAAGCACCGGCUAACUUCGUG
rnacentral:rRNA from 1 species